rnacentral:rRNA from 1 species
AGUGAACGCUGGCGGUAGGCCUAACACAUGCAAGUCGAACGGCAGCACAGUAAGAGCUUGCUCUUACGGGUGGCGAGUGGCGGACGGGUGAGGAAUACAUCGGAAUCUACUUUUUCGUGGGGGAUAACGUAGGGAAACUUACGCUAAUACCUCAUACGACCUACGGCUGAAAGCAGUGGAUCUUCGGACCUUGCGCGACUGAAUGAGCCGAUGUCGGAUUAGCUAGUUGGCGGGGUAAAGGCCCACCAAGGCGACGAUCCGUAGCUGGUCUGAGAGGAUGAUCGGCCACACUGGAACUGAGACACGGUCCAGACUCCUACGGGAGGCAGCAGUAGGGAAUAUUGGACAAUGGGCGCAAGCCUGAUCCAGCAAUACCGCGUGAGUGAAGAAGGCCUUCGGGUUGUAAAGCCCUUUUGUUGGGAAAGAAAAGCAGCAGGUUAAUACCCCGCUGUUCUGACGGUACCCAAAGAAUAAGCACCGGCUAACUUCGUG